rnacentral:rRNA from 1 species
UACGGAGGAUGCAAGCGUUAUCCGGAAUGAUUGGGCGUAAAGCGUCCGCAGGUGGCAAUGUAAGUCUGCUGUCAAAGCGUCUGGCUCAACCAGAUAAAGGCAGUGGAAACUACAUAGCUAGAGUAAGGUAGGGGUAGAGGGAAUUCCUGGUGUAGCGGUGAAAUGCGUAGAGAUCAGGAGGAACAUCGAUGGCGAAGGCAAUCACCUGGGCCUGAACUGACACUGAGACACGAAAGCGUGGGUAGCAAACAGG